rfam:Anaerolinea thermophila TNI-1 DNA, complete genome.
CGGGGUGUAGCGCAGUCCGGUAGCGCACGUGCAUUGGGGGCAUGUGGUCGGCGGUUCAAAUCCGCCCACCCCGA